GUCUCCUCUACCGUCAGUGAAGGGUUAAUAAUGGUCACGUGGCGUCCCUCAGCCGUUGUCUUGGUGACCAGCCACCUCCCGCCCCUUGCCCUGAUUGGCGGAGGCGCUACAGGACGUGCCGUAUAAAAAGCGCCACUGGGAACGGGCUCAGCCUUUCCGGCCGGAGUCUCGACCCAAGGAAGUCCCGGAGCCGGCCCGCUGAACGGUGUCUGAUGUGAUGUUUGUAAGAAUGUUAAUAAAGUUUGUUUCCUCUCA